GGGGAAUGGGGAUGUGCCACUCAUGCAGUAAACCAAUGCCUCGUGAGAGGGGAGAAAGAGAAUCAUAUCCACGGACUUGAAAUCAGCUCACCAGACUAAGGAUGGCAGGCAGAUGACACUGGGAGAGGGACAUCCUAAAGACGGGCAGAGACUUGAGCACCCCUCCACCACUGGCACCAGUAACCAUUCCAUAACCUUCCUCUCAAAGGUCAGGGUGAAGAGCAUAUGCACACUGAAAACGGUCUGUGACCCAAAGGGGAGCUCUGAAAUGACCAAAGAACAGUCUCAACUCGUCGGGGCAAGGUGUCGAAAAUGUUCCACAGGGAUGCUGGCCCAUGUUGACUCCAAUGCUUCCCAUAGUUGUGUGAAGUUGGCUGGAUGUCCUUUGGGUGGUGUACCAUUUUUGAUACACACAAAUGUUUAGCGUGAAAAACCCAGCAGAGUUGCAGUUCUUGGCAAAAAACGGUCAUAUUUGGAGUUAAAAUACUGAUAAAAUCUCAAAAUGAAUUUCUCGGUUUAACAUCUUUGCUGCAACACAAAGCUACUUUCUGAAACAAUACAAAAGCAGGACUAUAGCUAUGCUAUUCGUUUGUGUUGGUUCUUGCGUGAGGUUAUGUGGUGGAAAGAUUUAAUCUGAUGCGUUAUUUAUGGUGUGUGAUUAUUUAUUUAUUUGAUUAUUUUGUAAAUUAUUUAGCUAUUGAAUUAUUAAUUCAUCUUCAUGACAUGCCUUACAUUAUUCAUGACUUCAUUUCAGAUUAUUGCAUCUACAUGCCACAUUGUUGUAGUGUAGGAUCGCCUUUUCACAUCAAGUCAGACAAGGAAAUUAAAUCCACCUCUGAGGCUAUUUUGUCUUGAACUGAGGAGAAGUAGAGAAAUGAUCCUGUAAGGAUGCUAUUUGCAUACAAUAUGUGGUCACACUGGAAAGAGAUGGACACAUUUGUCUUGUUCACAUUAAGGUGUGAUCUAUAUACUGUGUUGUUAUAUCCUUCUUUUGUGGCAAUAUUAGGUCACUAUUUUCUUCAUUUCCUGACUAAUCAAAGUUUGUGAAUCCAAUAUGGAAAUGCAGGAAGUGUAGAAUGUAACUUUAAUGCAGAAUGUGCUUACUUUUUUAAACACCUGAGGAAAAUGAAUAUGAUAAUCAGCUGGUUGCGUGGUGUAUUGGGUGCCAUUUUGUUGAAGGCCUGUGUCCUGUUGCUUCCUGCAUUUAAAUGGCUCACAACAAAACGAUGAAAGCUGUGUUGUGUGAUCAAGACAGCUGUCAGAUAGACAGAGUGUGGGACAUGCAUUAAUUUUCGAUGCAUAGAGCAUGAUUCUAAAUACGACAUGUUAGUCCCAAACUGUCAGUAGCCUACAUGUAGAGAAAUAUUAGAAUAUUAGAGUCUGCUUUGGGAGGUUGGAAUCUUUUUAGAAACUCCACAUGAGGUGCACUGAUGACAUUUUGCUUCAUAUCAAUUGACAUCUCUGUACAUGACAUGCGGGAUCAUCACUAGCUAGCUAGCAAAGUACAAAAUGAAAGAAAGCUGUCAUGUUCUAUUGAGAGGGAAGAGGUGCAUCAUCCCAGACUGAUUUAUGUGUAGCCGAGAUAAGAGUCCCCUGACAACACACAGUAGCAACAUGAUGUUCCCGUUCAUCACUUCUUCUCCAUUGCUGGUACUGUUGUGCAUAUAUGAAGUAUAAAAUGCCACUUGAUGUUAUAAUCGUAAAACUGUCUUAACCAUUUGUAACUGCUUACUUUUAGGUUGAAUUUGUUGUCGUGUUACAGAUUCAUUCUCUAUAGAGACAUAAUUCCUUGUAAUAUAGUGUAAUGGCUCACUCAUUUGAGCGCAAUUUCUUUUUUUUCUCGAAAAAUACUA